rfam:Anaerolineae bacterium CG2_30_64_16 cg2_3.0_scaffold_10071_c, whole genome shotgun sequence.
GCCCCCAUCGUCUAGAGGACCAGGACACAGGCCUUUCAAGCCUGGUACAGGGGUUCGAAUCCCCUUGGGGGCA